rnacentral:lncRNA from 1 species
CACCAGUUAACACUUGGAGUGCAGAUCUUAGAUUAGUUAGCUCGCUAAAUCUAUUGACAACGUUUUUUGACUAGGUAAUAUUGAGCAUUCAAAGUUAAAUAAAAAAAGAAAAGAAAGAGAGGAUUUCACAAUGUUGCCAAAUUUUCUAAACAGCAAUAUGUGACGCUGAAAUGAUCCGAUGUCCCGAACUUGUAUCUGCAUGUUGAAGAUUGCAUGAAAUUGAACAGAGUUAAUCUAACGAGAAUAAUGUCAGUCGUUUUAUUCCGCCGAUCUCCGUCUAAUCUUCGAAUGCCUAGAGAGCGCAGAAUUGUUCGAGUUAGAGUUAAUCAGCAAGUGAGUUAUAGCCGAUUGCAUUGAGUGUGUACGUAAAGGUAUUUUUUUUU